rnacentral:rRNA from 1 species
AUUGAACGCUGGCGGCAGGCCUAACACAUGCAAGUCGAGCGGAUGAAGGGAGCUUGCUCCUGGAUUCAGCGGCGGACGGGUGAGUAAUGCCUAGGAAUCUGCCUGGUAUUGGGGGAUAACGUCCGGAAACGGGCGCUAAUACCGCAUACGUCCUGAGGGAGAAAGUGGGGGAUCUUCGGACCUCACGCUAUCAGAUGAGCCUAGGUCGGAUUAGCUAGUUGGUGGGGUAAAGGCCUACCAAGGCGACGAUCCGUAACUGGUCUGAGAGGAUGAUCAGUCACACUGGAACUGAGACACGGUCCAGGCUCCUACGGGAGGCAGCAGUGGGGAAUAUUGGACAAUGGGCGAAAGCCUGAUCCAGCCAUGCCGCGUGUGUGAAGAAGGUCUUCGGAUUGUAAAGCACUUUAAGUUGGGAGGAAGGGCAGUAAGUUAAUACCUUGCUGUUUUGACGUUACCAACAGAAUAAGCACCGGCUAACUUCGUG